rnacentral:lncRNA from 1 species
AUGGGCUACCCCAAGUGCAACACUUUAGACCGGUGGCUUGAUGAUAUCGAAGUUCAAUCCCAAGGAGAGGGACAGGUGUGUCAGUGUGCUCCCACGCCCUGUUCCCGUAACCUGGGGGGUGGGGUGGUCACGAUGACGAUGAGGAGGAAGAACGUGCCACCUCAGGUUUGCUCAUUCCCUACACUGGACAAAAUGCACACCUGUGUGGCAGGUGAGUGCACAGGUGGGGGGGAUGCAGAGGCCCAGGAGGCUGCAGGAGGUGUCCAAGUCUCUGGGCAUAAUGAUGACAGAGCAGCGAUGCCAACACAUGGUCCUCAGGUACCUGGGCUGGACCCAGUUAUGGGGUGGGGGGGUGCUGGCGACAAACUGGGGCUUGGGGAGAAGAUGAGGCGGAGGGCGGCUGGGGGAUUGAAACCUCGUGGUGGUUUUUUCCAACAGGUCGAUUUACGCCUAGAAGACCUGGAGGUGAGUUUGGGCCUUGCCCCUCCCCCAAACCUUAGACCCCAGGAGCUGGGCUCGUCCAGGUUAUGCAGUCGGGGCUCUCAGCUCCCUUGUGACUCACCUGGACCCCUGGGGACCACAGUGGGGACUGCAGACUUCAGGAGCAGGUCUGCAGCCUCUGUACCCUCCUGUCCCCAGGACAAAUUCAGUGAAAACUUUCUUGACGCCGUGGAGGAGCACCAUCGGAAGAACAACUCAGUGAGUUUGAGGCGCCUGUCUCAGCCCUCCUUUCUUCCCCUUCCUCCUGCUCUCUCUGGAUGUUGGUGCUGCCAUCUGUGUACACAGCCCCCCCGCCCCCCCCACACCAAGCAGAAGGGGAGGGAUGGCAGUCCGAGAGCUCGGGGGUGGCAGGCUCUCUGGCACCAGCCUCCAGGCCUCCCAACCCAGCAAACAGUGGCCAGAGGCCUGCCCUCAGUUCCCUGUGAGAUGAGCCGCGUGGGCCUGGUGCUGGGCUCCGAGGCCAGUCAGCCAACAAGCAGGCGCCGCCAUCCUGGUUUAUGCCACGGAGGGGACGUGAGGGGCUAAGCCUCUGGGAAAGUCCUUGUGUCUGUGGAGCUGUUGGCAGGAAAGUAGGCAGUUUCCAUCUGUAGGCUUCUGUAUCGCAAACUCAGAAAGGCUGUGAGGCCUCAGCCAGGGUCAGGCCGUGGGGCUGCAGCCCCCCAAGGCGGGACCCUGAAGAGCCCCUAUCCCCCAGGAAUCUGCUCCUUUACUUCCUGACAUGAAGUCCGAGUUACGUCGCAGAGCUCAGAAGUCCUCUGUCCCCAACCCUGAACCUGAGGGUCCAGGGAUCCUGGAAGUUGAGGCUCCAGAGGCACCCGAGCCUGAAGAAAGCUUUUGGGUCAGAGCAUGGAGGUCGUUCAUGGGGAUGCUACAGCGACUGAAGCAGAGGUUGCAGGCUGUACUGGCCUGGGUGCGAGAGAAGGUGGCUGCUGGCUGGCAGGCCCUUUGCAGUGUGGCCCAGUUCAUUAAUAGUCUGCUUGAGAGUUUCUGCUCCUAUAUGGCUGGGUUGUUUAGGUACCACAUCCAGGUCUAGGGGGCCCCGUGGGGUCCAGGAGGGGUAGCCACACCAUGCAGCCCUUUGACGUCCCCCUUUUCACAGAGAACCUUCAGAAGUGACCUUUGCCACCUGCCUACCCUUGACCUGUCCUUGACCACCUCCCUCACCGCCUUGCUGUGCACAGCCUGGCCACCCUGCCCACCAUGUACUUCCUGCUCAGGUUUCCUUCUGCAGGUCUGACUUGUGGCUGCAGCCCGUAUGUCUUAAUAAAGUUGUUGAACCAAAUCGAGUGCCUGUCA